CCUGCUGAUGGGUCGCCUUUAGCAGG
rfam:Erwinia sp. Leaf53 contig_11, whole genome shotgun sequence.